rnacentral:rRNA from 2 species
UUUAAUUGAAGAGUUUGAUCAUGGCUCAGAUUGAACGCUGGCGGCAGGCCUAACACAUGCAAGUCGAGCGGUAACAGG